GCCUCUACUUGUAAGCUAUCGCUUUACGAUGGGUCUGCGUCUGAUUAGCUAGUUGGUGGGGUAACGGCUUACCAAGGCGACGAUCAGUAGCCGGUCUGAGAGGAUGAACGGCCACAUUGGAACUGAGACACGGUCCAGACUCCUACGGGAGGCAGCAGUGGGGAAUCUUCCGCAAUGGGCGCAAGCCUGACGGAGCAACGCCGCGUGAGUGAAGAAGGGUUUCGACUCGUAAAGCUCUGUUGUCGGGGACGAAUGUGGAGAUGGUGAAUAACCAUUUCCAAUGACGGUACCUGACGAGGAAGCCACGGCUAACUACGUGCCAGCAGCCGCGGUAAUACGUAGGUGGCGAGCGUUGUCCGGAAUUAUUGGGCGUAAAGGGAGCGCAGGCGGGAGAUCAAGUCUAUCUUAAAAGUGCGGGGCUCAACCCCGUGAGGGGAUGGAAACUGGUCUUCUUGAGUGCAGGAGAGGAAAGCGGAAUUCCUAGUGUAGCGGUGAAAUGCGUAGAUAUUAGGAGGAACACCAGUGGCGAAGGCGGCUUUCUGGACUGUAACUGACGCUGAGGCUCGAAAGCGUGGGGAGCGAACAGGAUUAGAUACCCUGGUAGUCCACGCCGUAAACGAUGAAUGCUAGGUGUAGGAGGUAUCGACCCCUCCUGUGCCGGAGUUAACGCAAUAAGCAUUCCGCCUGGGGAGUAC
rnacentral:rRNA from 1 species